GACAAAGCAAGGGGGCAGGGGGAAGAAAAUGUGAUAUAUAAAAAACGAAUGGAGUCUGAUUCAGCUCUAAAGAAGGAAAUCAUGUCAUGGUUUCCAAGAUAAUGGAUACAACUGGAGAUUGUCACGUGAAACUAAGUUACCAGAUUCAGAUAGAUACAUACCAUGAGUGUUCGCUCCUGUUGGGUAGGGCCGGCAUUUGGCAAGAUGGAAGAUGAACGGAGGAUGGUAUGAGGAGUACCACAGAAAAAAUGCUGCAGGAGACCAGGACCUGGCGUGAUGUUCGAAAUACCAAAUACCAGAGUAAUCCUAGUUGCUAACAGAUCUACCCAGGAUGUUCAUAUGAAGAUAAACUGAGAUGCUGUUCAGAAAGAGCCCACUGUGUGAGACACCAUCAAGUCCCCCUGAAAGAUCCUCGUCCCACAUCUUCAGAUCUCCUUGUGUCCACUGCAGAUGUAUGGGCAGGACUGCGAGGUUCCGUCACCAAUUUCCAAAUAAGGAUGCAAAGCUAAAUCAGAAUUCAGAGAGGAAGUCAGAGAGACCUCUAACGUAAUAAUAGGGCUGAGUCCACACACUCACACACACACACACACACACACACACACAGAAGAAAAAAAAAAUACUGGAUGACCCAGCCUGACCAUGAAAGCCUUCGCAGCUUGUCAGAAAACCACCAGAGGGCUCAAGUCUAGAGGCAUCUCUGUGACCCCUUUUCUCACGGCAGUCUCUACCCUGUCUCUGAAGGGAAAUUCAGAACCGACUUGAGUUUCAGUUGUGAAUAAGAUGACCUUUGAAGUGAAGGUAUACCUAAAAUCACUGACCUAGUGAGUCCUAACUCUGGGGUAUCUUCAAGGAAGUUAGGGUGCAUAGGAAAAGGGUAGGAGGCAUUUUAAAACUGCCAAAUGGGAGUCAGUGGGAUUUUAUCGUCCAUGGUUUGUUUAAAUGAAUGCCCCAUUUCGUGGUCUUCCACGAAGGAGGCCUUGACAAGUGGUG
rnacentral:lncRNA from 1 species